UUAUCCGAAAUUAUUGGGCGUAAAGCGUCUGUAGGUUGAUUGUUAAGUCUGAAGUUAAAUCCCGGUGCUCAACACCGGCCCGCUUUGGAUACUGGCAAACUAGAGUUAUAGAGAGGUUAGUGGAAUUUCAUGUGAAGCGGUGGAAUGCGUAGAUAUAUGAAAGAACACCAAUGGCGAAGGCAGCUAACUGGCUAUAUACUGACACUGAGGGACGAAAGCGUGGGGAGCAAACAGGAUUAGAUACCCUGGUAGUCCACGCUGUAAACGAUGAUCAUUAGUUGGUGGGAGAAAUUCUCGCUGGCGCAGCUAACGCAUUAAAUGAUCCGCCUGAGUAGUAUGCUCGCAGAGUGAAACUUAAAGGAAUUGACGGGGACCCGCACAAGCGGUGGAGCAUGUGGUUUAAUUUGACGAUACGCGUAGAACCUUACCCACUCUUGACAUCCUCAGCAAAGCUAUAGAGAUAUAGUGGAGGUUAACAGACUG
rnacentral:rRNA from 1 species